rnacentral:lncRNA from 1 species
CUAGAACAUGAAAAGUCUAUGAGAGAAGGGCAAGGGAGGAGAAGGGAGACUCCUAUGUGUCCCUUCACUAAUGGCUUGCUUUGAGGAUAGGCAAUGAUAAUGCAUAUCUCUCUUCACGCUCAGAUCUAAAAGCACUUUAGACACUGGUGGGCAAAUAAUACUAAUGGCCUCUUUUACAAAAAGGCUUAAGGUGGGACUUUCAAAGGAGUCACCCUGCUCCCACUGAAUUUCACGGAGGCUUGGGUGUGUAACUCCCAGAGGCUGCCUUGAAAUCCCAGCCUCCAAGAUUUGCCCAAAGCUCAGAGCAAGGCAACGGCAGAGCUCUGAAUCCAAAUCUUCUCACUCAGGCCCCAUUUACACGUGUCUGCAAAACUAGUGUCUCAGUCUGGCAGCCUAGCCACUGGGUCACGCUACCCCAGUUAAUUAUUGAAUGGCUAACCUCAAAAUGUGGUGGGAGUGAGGAAAAAAUCAAAUACAACUGAAAUAUAAAAAUAGCUUGUGAUACCACUAAAACAGUUUCUCAUCUCUUGCAUCAUUUGAUAAGUACAGAACAAGUAAGAUGAUAACACAGAAAUGUAUUUGGUCAAGGUCUAAGCAAUCAAUAUUUUUUGAUAAAAUACAUUCUAUAUUAAUGCUCAUUCACAUUUAAUACACAUGUAAAUUUAAAGUUUCUAUGUAUAAAAUUCCAGUUUAAGUGCUACCUCGUAGUGCUUCAGUUCAGCAGUGGGGCUCAACACGUUCAGUUCCCAGCAAAGUGAUGGGAGACAAGAGCGUUCAGCUCUUUGCAGGACCAAGCCUCACGACCCCUUUGGAGGGCCUGGUCCUGCCGCCCUCCUUUGAACAAAACUCUUGCUGUCUUCAACAGGAAUUUUGCCUGAAUGGGAGCUGCAGAAGGGCCCCCUAACUAUCAAGCACUUGCACUCUGUUGUGGAAGUCACUCAAGUAGCAUAUGGCGUUCCAAAAAAAAGGGCCCCGAGCACCGCUGGGAAGCUGCAAGGAGCCUCAGGCUGCGCUUCCCUCUGGCUACGCAUUUCCACCCUGCACCAUCCCCGCUGCUGUGCUGGCACCCUCGCCUGCGUGGCCACGUGCUGGAUCGGAUCAGACGCCUAAUCCAGCCGAAAAACUGUCUGCCAGAAAAACCGCAGAAGGUUAUCUCCUGGCCAGCUCAAGUCUGCAGCCCAGCCCAGGACACGGGGCCACGAGGAGCUGUGCUGGGAGGACAGGAGGCAGGUGGACAUUGCCACUGCGGGGGCGUCCUGCCAGGAGACG